UACGGGGGGGGCAAGCGUUGUUCGGAAUUACUGGGCGUAAAGGGCUCGUAGGUGGCCAACUAAGUCAGACGUGAAAUCCCUCGGCUUAACCGGGGAACUGCGUCUGAUACUGGAUGGCUUGAGGUUGGGAGAGGGAUGCGGAAUUCCAGGUGUAGCGGUGAAAUGCGUAGAUAUCUGGAGGAACACCGGUGGCGAAGGCGGCAUCCUGGACCAAUUCUGACGCUGAGGAGCGAAAGCCAGGGGAGCAAAGC
rnacentral:rRNA from 1 species